rnacentral:tRNA from 1 species
GCCUGGGUGGCUCAGCAGGUUAAGCAUCUGACUUUAGCUCAGGUCAUGAUCUCACAGCUCGUGAGUUCAAGCCCCGCGUCAGGCU